rnacentral:rRNA from 1 species
CUCGAGGCCAGAUCUAGAGUUUGAUCCUGGCUGAGAACGAACGCUGGCGGCGUGCCUAACACAUGCAAGUCGAGCGAGAAAGCUCCUUCGGGAGUGAGUACAGCGGCGCACGGGUGAGUAACACGUGGGUAACCUACCGUCGAGCCUGGAAUAACCUGCCGAAGGGUGGGCUAAUGCCGGAUAUGACCACGACGGCUUCGGCCGUCGCGGUGAAAGAUGGCCUCUGCUCGCAUGCUAUCACUCGACGAUGGGCCUGCGCGCCAUUAGCUAGUUGGUGGGGUAAUGGCCCACCAAGGCUGCGAUGGCUAGCUGGUCUGAGAGGAUGAUCAGCCACACUGGGACUGACACACGGCCCAGACUCCUACGGGAGGCAGCAGUGGGGGAUAUUGCGCAAUGGGCGAAAGCCUGACGCAGCGACGCCGCGUGGGUGAUGAAGGCCUUCGGGUCGUAAAGCCCUGUCGAGGGGGAAGAAAUGGUCGGGGCCUAAUACGUCUCGGCCUUGACGGUACCCCUAAAGGAAGCACCGGCUAACUCCGUGCCAGCAGCCGCGGUAAUACGGAGGGUGCAAGCGUUGUUCGGAAUCACUGGGCGUAAA